AGAGUUUGAUCCUGGCUCAGGACGAACGCUGGCGGCGUGCUUAACACAUGCAAGUCGAACGGUAAGGCCCUUCGGGGUACACGAGUGGCGAACGGGUGAGUAACACGUGGGUAAUCUGCCCUGCACAUCGGGAUAAGCCUGGGAAACUGGGUCUAAUACCGAAUAGGACCACAGGACACAUGUCCUGUGGUGGAAAGCUUUUGCGGUGUGGGAUGGGCCCGCGGCCUAUCAGCUUGUUGGUGGGGUGAUGGCCUACCAAGGCGACGACGGGUAGCCGGCUUGAGAGGGUGUCCGGCCACACUGGGACUGAGAUACGGCCCAGACUCCUACGGGAGGCAGCAGUGGGGAAUAUUGCACAAUGGGCGAAAGCCUGAUGCAGCGACGCCGCGUGGGGGAUGACGGCCUUCGGGUUGUAAACCUCUUUCACCAUCGACGAAGGUCCGGGUUUUCUCGGGCUGACGGUAGGUGGAGAAGAAGCACCGGCCAACUACGUGCCAGCAGCCGCGGUAAUACGUAGGGUGCGAGCGUUGUCCGGAAUUACUGGGCGUAAAGAGCUCGUAGGUGGUUUGUCGCGUUGUUCGUGAAAUCUCACGGCUUAACUGUGAGCGUGCGGGCGAUACGGGCAGACUUGAGUACUGCAGGGGAGACUGGAAUUCCUGGUGUAGCGGUGGAAUGCGCAGAUAUCAGGAGGAACACCGGUGGCGAAGGCGGGUCUCUGGGCAGUAACUGACGCUGAGGAGCGAAAGCGUGGGGAGCGAACAGGAUUAGAUACCCUGGUAGUCC
rnacentral:rRNA from 1 species